CAGCCGUAAACUAUGCGCGUUAGGUGUACUGGUGACCACGAGUCACCGGGGUGCCGAAGGGAAACCGUGAAACGUGCCGCCUGGGAAGUACGGUCGCAAGGCUGAAACUUAAGGAAUUGGCGGGGGAGCACCACAACGGGAGGAGCCUGCGGUUUAAUUGGAUUCAACACCGGAAACUCACCAGGGGAGACUGUUACAUGAAACCCAGACUAAUGAUCUUGGUUGAUUUCAGAGAGGUGGUGCAUGGCGUCAAUGACU
rnacentral:rRNA from 1 species